rnacentral:lncRNA from 1 species
CACCACAUGGCCUUCAGCUGAUUCCUCUGCUUCAACUAGACUGCUGUAUUUUUUCAGUUCAAUUAUUUUAUUACUCAGGUCUGUGACUUCUUUCUUAUAUUUUCCAUCUCUUUGUUGAAGUUCUCAAUAUGUCCAUCCAUUCAUCUCCUGAAUCCAGUAAGCAUCUUCAUCAGCUAAGUUACUUAUUUCUAUUUUACUAAGUUUGUUUUUUUUUUUCCCCCUAAGGCUUUUAUCUUUUUUUUUCAUGGAAUGCAUUCCUUUGUUUCCUCAUUUGCUUGGCUCUCUGUGUUGUUUUCUAUAGGGCAGAUUAAAGAACAAAAACAAAAACAACGAAAACAACCACUUCCAAUCUUGAAGAAGAGGCCUCAUGUAGGAGGAGCAUCUUGUUCAAUACUGCCUCAGCUCUUAGUUGUCACUUAGACUUUUGUGCUUGUCCAAGCAGCUUAUUAUCUUUUUACAGCUCCCAGGAGUUGAGGGUGUGCCUAGACUUGUUAGCGUCCAUAAGGGAGAGCAUCCUGGCUCUUAGACUGAGACUGAGACUUUUUGGAAGGCAAAUUCUCAGGCAGAAGCUUUUAAAAGUAUGCAAAUGUAUCAUAUGGGGCCAUAAAUAUAACCCUGGCCAGACAAUAAAUAUAACAAUGGCCAGACAAUCUAGCAUUUUCCCCUAGGCAGCAGUCACAAAAUCAGGGCUCCAGAUAGUGUAUACAGCUAUUUUCUGGGUGAUAACUGGCAAGCUGGAGUAAGGCCAAGAAAGAGUACCAAGAUGGUGUCUGCAGCUUAUAUUCCUUGAGAGUAGCUCUGCAGUCCGUUAGAGGUACACCCAACCUAAAGCCUGCCUGUCAAUCUAAAGCUCCAAGACAUAUAAGGAGUAUAUAAGAUACCAAAGAAAAAUAGGGUGGUGGGGGGCAUGCCUUAGUCUUCUAUCUGUAGCACACUGUAGGCAAGUGCCACCUCUCUACAUAGAUUCAGGAGACCCAGGAAUGUAAGGCCCCUGACCACCAAAGCCAGGCAAUCAAGGCAAACAAUUACAACCCUGCCUCUCGGGAGCAGCUAUGAUUACUAGCUAAUAGGCCUCCUUCACACAAAGACAGAACUUCUGGGUCUAUUGCCUCUUUCUAUGCCCUAGCAGUAGUAGCUUUUUAAGAACGCUUUCUUCUUUGACUAGAGUUCUAAGGGAUCCAUAAACAUAAGCCCCAUUGGCUACCAUAGUCACCUCUUGUACUAGGAAUGCAAGCUUCCUUGGCCUCUAGAGCCAAGCUGUAAACAGGUGUACCCUGGGUAGCAGCAAUAAAAGUGAUGUCAUCAGAUAUAUGUAAAAGCUCUGUUCUCGGAGAUACUGGUGCUCUGGACCUGGCAAGAGAGAUUGCAAAUAUGGUACCCAGAAGUCUCUGCUCCUGGAGGGUGUUCAGCAAGCUCCUAAAUGUGUGUGUUAAGUUAGAUGCCUGUCCUUAGCCUGACAUUUCAAUAUAAGUAGGUGAGCCUCCUUCACUUUAAGUCUGAGCAUGACUAACUUCCUCUGAGCUGGGAAUAGGGGCAGGUAAGUACAAUUACAGAGGCCCUUUAAGAGCUACCGGUAAUAUCACUACAAUCUUGUGAUUCUCAGGAUUUGAGCCUGUUGAUUUUCAGUUAGAAGUUUAAAGGGCUCAUCUCUCAAGUGCAGGUCCUAAAACUUGAGUACUCAAUGUAGGGUUCAAACCCUUGACUCCUCAGGGAGAAGCUGUAGGGUUUGAGUUUUCUACUACUUGUAGGUUUCCUCAACAAAGGUAGAAUUUAUGGCAAGAUUGUGUUCCACCCCCUCCUGCAAUCUUCAAUGUGGUUUUCUUUCUAUUUGCCUGAUAUGUAGCAAUCAGCCAGCCUUUACAUUUUUUUUUUUUUUAAAGAGGCAAUUAUCCCUUGCAUAGCUGAAGACUCAGUUUGCCCAUGGAAAAAGGUGAGUUCACGAUGUUAUGUAGCCAUCUUGAACCUGGACCUGCAUAAAUGUGUUCUGUAAGUUUUUCCAAAUAUCCUAAAGGUACAACCUGGAUGAGAGCAAUUUUGAAGUAAGUGAAUGUGAAAAAUUUUUGCUGUUCCCAGGUUUGGUACAUGAUUUAAUGACCUAAUCCAAGGAAGGAAAUAGUUUAUAUUCCAGGCUCAGGAGUCAAGUUUGCUUUAUAUCCUCCUGACUUGAACAGGAGAUAUUUAGUAUAGACUGACGCACAAAUUAUUUAAUGUGACAAUGAAAGCAACCUAAGAAUGAAUUAAGCCCAAAGAGGAAUAGAGAAGAACAGGAAGAACCUAAGGAUUUAAUGAUACUGAGGUGCUGAUUUUAUUGUGCAUACAUUUUUGUUUCUGGCCUUUGAAUGCAUUAGCUCUGGACUUCCUCAGAAUGGAAUCUAAAUGGAAAAAGUCUUUGUCUGAGUUAUCCAACACUGCCUCUGCAUUGCUUACAGGAGAGCUCAGAGCCUCUGGUACUCACUGUAAAAUGUGGAAAGAAGAAAAAAAGGGAAAAGGAGCUUAAUUUUAUGAAUUGUUAAAUUUCAAAAGGAGAGUCCAGACAUAAGUACUGAGAAAUAAACAUGUUUUCCAGUGACCAAUGGAUUUUUCUAUAAAGGAUUAGUGCUGUAGAUUGUGGGAUUAUUGAUUAUUUCCCUUGACUUGUAUACAUUUUCUGUAUUUUCUUAAUAUUCUAAACUGUGUAUAGUUUUCCCAAUGUAAGACAAGUUAUUUUUAAAAAUGAACAAAAGACAGUUUUUCUAAUUCCCUUCAUGAUUACUUUAUAACAGGGACAUUUAGGAUCAAAGAAAAUGCUGCAUGAUCAUUUCUUACUAUUACAUUAAUUUGAGAUUGUACUUUUACUGAUACAUAUAAAAGUUAUAAACAUGCUCAUAUUUAGUCAUAAUUACAAACAUCUUAAUUUGAAUUAUGAAUAGAUUUAUAAUUAGUAAUUUUAAGCAUUAAGCCAUAGUAGUUUACUCUCACUUCAGUAACAAAUUAAUUAAAGAAAAGAUCCACGAAUAACUUACACAAAGUCAUAUAAGUUUUGGUCAUUUAGAUUUUGUCCAAAACAAAAAUGUAAUAUAUUUAAAAUUUUGUACCAGUACACAAUAUUUAGCAUAGUAUUUUCUCCAAAUGAGCCAUCCUCUAUUAGGGGUGGGGGUGUCUUUAAGAAGUGGGUAUGUUUAUUCAGUAUGAAAUGAAUAUGCAUACAAUAUCAUGAGUCUGCACAUAAAAUUGGCACUUAAAGUUUAAAGAAGCCCUAAAUAAAAGUUACAUCAAUAUAUUAAGUAUGACCAAUGAAGUAUUAAUUUACACACUAUAGGUUUUUCUAGUAAUUAAUGUCUAAGUACACUUAGCACUUUGUAUGAGCAUUUAUAUAAAAAUGCUAUUCUGACCUCUGUCAUGAAAAGACACAUCUGGGGAUCCCUGGGUGGCACAGCGGUUUGGCGCCUGCCUUUGGCCCAGGGCGCGAUCCUGGAGACCCGGGAUCGAAUCCCACGUUGGGCUCCCGGUGCAUGGAGCCUGCUUCUCCCUCUGCCUGUGUCUCUGCCUCUCUCUCUCUCUCUCUCUCUCUCUCUCUCUCUCUGUGACUAUCAUAAAUAAAUAGAAAAUUUAAAAAAAGGAAAAAAAGAAAAGACACAUCUGUCUCUCAAAAAUCAACUAAAGAACUGGCCAAAUCAAAAUCAGCUAUUUUAGAGCUCUGAUUUUGACCAAAGCCAUAUAACUAACUGGGAAGUAUUUGUUCAUGAAGACUACUUAACUUAAGCUAAGAACAGUGAAAAGUUGUGCCCAAGAGAUUGUGGCUGUUUUGCCAAAGGCUGUCCCAGAAGUCCCUUGGUUCUGUUGGCACAGUAGCUAAAAGAGGAUGGAACAGGCUAUGAAAAGCGUACCUUCACAUCACUUGGGAAAACUCACUUGAUUUGGAUGGAGCAUUGUUAGUUAAAUUGCCAAUCCUGUUGGCAACUAAAGAACGGCCAGUGGCUCCAUCAGCCAGAGAUCCAGGUCAUAUUUGGGACAAACAACAGACUAGAGGAGUAGCAUGGGGUUUAAUAGUGUGCUUUAGAGAUAGCCAUUAGGAUCUAGGGACUUUAUAAGCUGUCAACAUAUUCCUGAUGGAUGGGAGUCAGUGUACAUGCACAGCAGAGAUGGGGAUAUUAACACCCCAAGCACUCCUGGCAAAAGGCCUCUGAACAUUGUGCACAGGUGACAUGAACAAGUCCAUCAGAAGUAACAGCUAGGGAUGCUUUAAGAUGACCUGGCAUAAAACUCUCUCCAAAACACACAUAGAUCCGACAACAAGGAUUAGAAAGUUGACUGAGUUGCAGGUCUUUUGAGUUUAUCCUUUACUUAAGAUGAAUCUGAAACUAUUCAAACAGCAGUUUGGAAUAACAGGAAUUCAGACUUAAAAAUAAAAUAACACAAAUUAGAGUAGAGAAAUAACCAGUCAUACACUAUAGGCAAGGGAGGCUUCAUAAAUAUACCCAGAAACAAACAAAAUGUUUGUUACAAAAAAACAAACAAAAUGACAACAAUUUUUAGUGAAAAAAGUCAGAAUUCAGAGUUGCUCCAGUAAAUUACCAAAAUACUCAUUAUUACGCCAAAAAAUUAAACAUAAAUCAAAAAAGAAAAAGGACGAAUACAUGGAAGAAAAAAAAAAGUCUGCAUAUAUUUCUUCUAAUUGUGGAAUGUGGAAUUCAGCCAAAACAUCAAGGCAGCUUUUAUAAAUAUAUUCAGAACUGUAGAAAAUAAUAUCUAAAGAAUUAAAGCAGAACAACAAUAGCUCUGCAAAUAGUCUCAAUAAACAUAUGAUUUUUUAAAAAAUCAAUUGAUUAUUCUGGAGUUUAAAAAGUAUAAUGGUUACAAUUAAUUUUCUAGAAGAGUUUAACAGAAAAUUUGAAAAGGGAGAAGAAAGAAUCCAUGAACUUUAUGAUAAAGCAAAAUGAAUUAUCCAAACUGAAGAAGAAGGAGAAAGAAGAUUAGAUAAAAAUAAACAUAAUUUCAGAAACCUGUGAGAAUACUGCAAACACAGCAAUGUACGUGAAAUAGAAGCACAGAGGAAAGGAGAAAGAGAAAGGGGAAGAAAAAUACAUUAAGAAAUAGUAAUUCAAACUUUCCAAAUAUUAUGAAAAACUUCAAUCUACAGAUUUAAGAGGCCAAAUAAAUCCCAAAUAAAGACACAAAUGUAACAUCUAGACAUAUCAAUCAGACCAUUGAAAGCCAAAGUAAAAGAGAAAAACUUGGUAGCAGAAAGAAAUAAAUGAUCAAUAAUAUACAGCAUGAUUAAUGUCUGACAUCAGAAAUAAUAGCCAAGGGAUCCCUGGGUGGCUCAGCGGUUUGGCACCUGCCUUGGGCCCAGGGCGCGAUAUUGGAGUCCCGGGAUCAAGUCCCGCGUCAGGCCCCUUGCAUGGAGCCUGCUUCUCCCUCUGCCUGUGUCUCUGCCUCUCACUCUCUCUCUCUCUCUGUCUAUCAUGAAUAAAUAAAUAAAUAAAUCUUUAAAAAAAAAGAAAUAAUAGCCAAAAAACAGUGUUUUAUUAUAUUCAAAAUGAUGACAGAAAAGUAUUGUCAACUAAGAAUGUCAUAACCAGUAAAAUUCAUCUACCAAAAUGAAGGCAAAGUAUAUAGACAUUCUUAGGAAGAAUCCUGAGGAAACAUGUUACUACCAGACCCGACUUACAAAAGAUACUAAAAUAAAUCCUUUAGUCUGAAAUGAAAAAAAAGGAAAUAGCAAUUAAAUUGACAGAAAGAAAUUUUAAGAUACCUGGAAUUGCAAUUGUGUGGGUUUUUGCAAAAAAAAAAA